rnacentral:rRNA from 1 species
AGAGCGAACGCUGGCGGCAGGCUUAACACAUGCAAGUCGAGCGGGCGUAGCAAUACGUCAGCGGCAGACGGGUGAGUAACGCGUGGGAACGUACCUUUUGGUUCGGAACAACCCAGGGAAACUUGGGCUAAUACCGGAUAAGCCCUUACGGGGAAAGAUUUAUCGCCGAAAGAUCGGCCCGCGUCUGAUUAGCUAGUUGGUGAGGUAAUGGCUCACCAAGGCGACGAUCAGUAGCUGGUCUGAGAGGAUGAUCAGCCACAUUGGGACUGAGACACGGCCCAAACUCCUACGGGAGGCAGCAGUGGGGAAUAUUGGACAAUGGGCGCAAGCCUGAUCCAGCCAUGCCGCGUGAGUGAUGAAGGCCCUAGGGUUGUAAAGCUACUUUGUGCGGGAAGAUAAUGACGGUACCGCAAGAAUAAGCCCGGCUAACUUCGCGCCAGCAGCCGC